rnacentral:lncRNA from 12 species
GAUUGUUGAUCACGUGAUCCCGCGUUCCGGUCACGUGGCGCCGCCCCGGAAGCGGAAGCUGCGGCGAUGGCGGCGCGGCGCGCGGUUGCCAUGGGGGCCUGGGCCGCCCCUCCCCCACGGCGGGCCUGGACCUGGAGGGGCCUCGGCAGCAGGUGAGCCCCAAAAUAUCCCAAAAUAUCCCAAAAACUGCCCCAAAAUACCCAAAACCGCCCAAAAACUGCCCCAAAACCGCCCAAAAACUGCCCCAAGACACCCAAAAACACCCAAAAACUGCCCUAAAAUACCUCAAAAUAUCCCCAAACCACCCCAAAACUGCCCCAAAAUACCCAAAAACACCCCAAAAUAUCCAAAAAUACCCAAAAAUAUCCAAAAAUAGCCUAAAAACUGCCCC